GGUUGUACAUCUCUCUAAAUUAAUUUUCUUCUCUCUCUCUCUAGCCGAUUGUGAGCAAGGAAGGGUUCGUGUGGAGAAUUUCGUCGUCGUCAUCGCGCCGCGGAGCCGUCCGAGCAUACGUGCGUCGCCGUAGUUUAGCGAGGAGGCCGGGCGAGGGAGUGUUUUCGUCGUUCUCGACGCCGUGCCGGAAUUGGAGUCGCUGGUUGAGCGUCGACCGUCGGCGUUUCGGCUCCCUCUCGACGUAGGAGCAUCGGAUUUCGACGAGACUUGGUUCGUUGGAUUCGGGACUUCGAGAGGAAUCCACGAAGCCCUUACUUGCUGGUUUUGGUGGAGGUUUUCUUGAGUUUGGCGGGAGCGUGAUUUCUGGCCUUUGGAGGUUUGCGGAUUGAUCCAGCAGGGUGUUCCUUUGCUUCGGGACGUCCUCGCUGCUGGGGAUUAGCGACUAAGGUGGGUUAAUCAUCGGCUUAUACUCCUAAGUGCGCAAUAGUCAACAUGUGUAAUUUCAGAUUUUGUAUAGUUUACUUUAGCUCGAAUUCAUGGAUUUUGUUAUAGAUAGCAAAUCUGAAUUUGGAGCAUGUGGUAUUAAAUUGAGUAGUUUAUACAUGUUGGACUUGGAAUUU